rnacentral:rRNA from 1 species
GUGCCAGCAGCGGCGGUAAUACGAAGGGUGCAAGCGUUACUCGGAAUUACUGGGCGUAAAGCGUGCGUAGGUGGUUCGUUAAGUCUGAUGUGAAAGCCCUGGGCUCAACCUGGGAAUUGCAUUGGAUACUGGCGGGCUAGAGUACGGUAGAGGGUAGUGGAAUUCCUGGUGUAGCAGUGAAAUGCGUAGAGAUCAGGAGGAACAUCCGUGGCGAAGGCGACUACCUGGACCAGUACUGACACUGAGCACGAAAGCGUGGGAGCAAACAGGAUUAGAUACCCUGGUAGUCCACGCCCUAAACGAUGCGAACUGGAUGGUUGGUUCAACGUAAGGAACUCAGUAUCGAA